UACGUAGGGGGCAAGCGUUGUCCGGAAUCAUUGGGCGUAAAGAGCGUGUAGGCGGCCAGAUAAGUCCGCUGUGAAAUCUCGAGGCUCAACUUCGAGCUGUCGGUGGAAACUGUCUGGCUAGAGUCCGGAAGAGGAGAAUGGAAUUCCUGGUGUAGCGGUGAAAUGCGCAGAUAUCAGGAGGAACACCAAUGGCGAAGGCAGCUCUCUGGGACGGUACUGACGCUGAGACGCGAAAGCGUGGGGAGCGAACAGG
rnacentral:rRNA from 1 species